rnacentral:tRNA from 1 species
CGGGACGUGGUAUAAUGGUUAUUACAUAUGGCUGGGGGUCAUAUAAUCUCGGUUCAAUUCCGUGCGUCCCGA